rnacentral:rRNA from 1 species
AAAAUAUGACUCUCGGCAACGGAUAUCUCGGCUCUCGCAUCGAUGAAGAACGUAGCGAAAUGCGAUACUUGGUGUGAAUUGCAGAAUCCCGUGAACCAUCGAGUCUUUGAACGCAAGUUGCGCCCGAAGCCGUCAGGCCGAGGGCACGUCUGCCUGGGCGUCACG